rnacentral:misc_RNA from 1 species
UAAAGAUUCCUUAAUUAACCUACACUUAGGUUUAGGGAUUUUACCCGAUAGGGUGCAGAAUCAAAUUCCACCUCCAGGAAGCAAGACCUCCAAGUGUAGGUCCUUUAGUCCAUCCAUAUGAACCACAUAAUCUUGACUCAACCCUUGAACCGCAAGCUCCCUUUUGUUCCUCUCCUUUGGUUAGGCCAACCAAGAACACAAGGAAGGAAGGUUCAAUUCUUGGGUCUUUGUUCUCUUGGGUAAUUAGAGAAACAAUUUCUCUAACUUUGAUUCAAGAGUAAAACUUCUAAUUUCUCUUGAAUCAAUUAGAAGAAAA